GAAGUUAAACAGGUGGCCUUUUCUCUGAACUCAGCCACCUAUAAAAACUUUCUGCCAAGAAAUGGCAGCCUCAUGCUGUUUUUUAUUCUAUUUAUAGGAAUUCUGAUCCAUCCAUCCAUCCAUCCAUCGAAAGAAAACAGUUUCAACUUAAUGCAUUCGUGGAUUUUCUAGCUUGUGCUCGCCUUCUUCAAUCAUACUAUAUUUCUAUGAGAUUUGGGCAUCCAGAGUCAUAUAUUGCUCCUGGAAGCAUGAAGCCGAGAACACCAGCCUGAAGAUGACGAAUGAGACUUCGUCGAAACGUCGCCAAGACACUUCCAACUUUAAAUAAAACAAAUUAUAUGAUAUCUAAGAGGAGGAAACAUAUACAGUUCAUCCACUGGAAGCAUUUGAUUAAGGAAUAUGCAACAUUAAACAUAUUGUGUAACUCUUA